UACGUAGGGUGCAAGCGUUAAUCGGAAUUACUGGGCGUAAAGCGUGCGCAGGCGGUUAUGUAAGACCGAUGUGAAAUCCCCGGGCUUAACCUGGGAACUGCAUUGGUGACUGCAUUGCUGGAGUAUGGCAGAGGGGGGUGGAAUUCCACGUGUAGCAGUGAAAUGCGUAGAGAUGUGGAGGAACACCGAUGGCGAAGGCAGCCCCCUGGGUCAAGAUUGACGCUCAUGCACGAAAGCGUGGGGAGCAAACAGG
rnacentral:rRNA from 1 species